rnacentral:rRNA from 1 species
AGAGUUUGAUCAUGGCUCAGAAUCAACGCUGGCGGCGUGCCUAACACAUGCAAGUCGAACGCGAAGACCCCGCAAGGGGUUUGUAGCGUGGCAAACGGGCGAGUAACGCGUGGGCGACCUGCCUUCGAGUGGGGGAUAACCUUCCGAAAGGAGGGCUAAUACCGCAUGACGUCCUGCUUUUGAACAAGCGGAGAUCAAAGCCGGGGAUCCGCAAGGACCAGGCGCUUAGAGAGGAGCCCGCGGCCGAUUAGCUAGUUGGUGAGGUAACGGCUCACCAAGGCGACGAUCGGUAUCCGGCCUGAGAGGGCGGACGGACACACUGGGACUGAGACACGGCCCAGACUCCUACGGGAGGCAGCAGUGGGGAAUUGUUCGCAAUGGGCGCAAGCCUGACGACGCAACGCCGCGUGGAGGACGAAGAUCUUCGGGUCGUAAACUCCUUUCGAUCGGGAAGAAUGGCUUCCGGGUUAACAGCCCGGAAGAGUGACGGUACCGAGAGAAGAAGCCCCGGCUAACUCUGUGCCAGCAGCGGCGGUAAUUC